rnacentral:lncRNA from 1 species
UCAAAUUCCUUUUGGUUCCCAUUAUUCUGGGAUGAGGAUGACUCUCCAUUGAGUAAGUGUAUACUACUAUUCUGAAAUGCCUGUCCAGGUAAAGAAUUUCCAUUAUUCUGGGAUGACUCUCCUUCAAGUAAGUGUAUACUACUACUCUGAAAUGCCUGUCCAGGUAAAGAAUUUCCAUUAUUCUGGGAUGACUCUCCUUCAAAUAAGUGUAUACUACUAUUCUGAAAUGCUUGUCCAGGUAAAGAAUUUCCAUUAUUCUGGGAUGACUCUCCUUCAAGUAAGUGUAUACUACUACUCUGAAAUGCCUGUCCAGGUAAAGAAUUUCCAUUAUUCUGGGAUGAUUCUCCAUCAAGUAAGUGUAUACUACUGCUCUGAAAUGCCUGUCCAGGUAAUGAAUUUCCAUUAUUCUGGGAUGACUCUCCUUCAAGUAAGUGUAUACUACUAUUCUGAAAUGCCUGUCCAGGGAAAGAAUUUCCAUUAUUCUGAAAUGCAUGUCCUUCUAAAGACUCCACAUUGUUCUGAAAUGCCUGUCCGUCAAUCAAGUUCGCAUUGUUCUGAAAUGCCUCUCCUUGAAACGAGUUUCCAUUGUUCUGGAAGGUCUCUCCUUCAAAUGAGUUUGCAUUAUUCGGAAAUGCUAGUUCUCCCCAGUCAAAAAUAUAUUCACAUGCUUGUUCAAAAAAAUUUCCAUUUCCCUUAUCCUGAAUUGCUUCCUUUUUAGGCUUGUUUCUGAUUUUUUGACAUUCAUCAUAAUAUGCCUGUUUUUCAAAAUAAAAAUCAAAAUCAUAUCAGUUCUUCAAACAUGUCUAAAUCACAUUAGUAAUACACUAAUUAACAUAUAAUAAUGAUCAACGGUAUAAAGUUUUGGUAGCAUGCAAUCUAGGACAUCUAAUUUGCAGUGUUGGUAAAUUGUUGGUUAUUGUCUAUGCACUUAUUAAGGAAAUUUGGUGUAUGCGUAAUGAUCUUAGUCUUGACAAAAAAUGUUUUACUUCAUUUAUGCAGGCCAGAGGAACAUAUUGACUGCGUUUUUGACUUGUCCGUUCUUCCAACGAAUCUUCCUUUUCAGGUUCUUCCAAUAACAUUCCAUUUUUCUGAUUUUUUAGUUCUUCAAUCAAAUUUCCACUAUGCUGAACUGACUCCUCUUCAAAUGAGUUUACACCGUUAUCAUAUGCCUGCUCAUCAUAUAUUUCACUAUUCUCACUUGCAUGUACCUCGUUUAAGCUUCCAUUAUUCUGAAAUCCGUAUUCAUCCUGUCUGUUCGCUUCAAACAACGGCUCAAAUUCCUUUUGGUUCCCAUUAUUCUGGGAUGAGGAUGACUCUCCAUUGAGUAAGUGUAUACUACUAUUCUGAAAUGCCUGUCCAGGUAAAGAAUUUCCAUUAUUCUGGGAUGACUCUCCUUCAAGUAAGUGUAUACUACUACUCUGAAAUGCCUGUCCAGGUAAAGAAUUUCCAUUA